GCUAAAUUGAUUUUAUUGAUGCAUUAUAUUAAGUUAAAAUAAGUGUCCAUACAGUAUUGUUGGAAUUGACAUUAUUACAAAAACAAACAAUCGGCCGAUUAAUCUGUAUCGGCUUUCUUGUUUUUUUUUUCGGUCUCAGUAUCGGCGUUGAAAAAUCAUAAUCGGUCGACCUUUUCUCUGAAUAUUUUCCUAAUGCACUGUACAAAAGAAAUAAGAAACGAGUGACAAGAAGUUGCUGAUGUCUCAUCUCUUUUAGAGGAACUUCAAGAAGGGAACACUCCAUCUGUUGCAGAGUGAGGACCAGAUUCUGCCAGUGGCAACUACGGAACGCAUUGCAUUCCUCCCUCACUACGACACACUGGUCCAAAGUGGCAUGUAUGAGUACUAUGCUAGCAAGGGCCAGAAGUCUUUACACGAGUGCCUCAGUACAAUAUUACAAUCUCCAGGCCAAAAAUGAUGCAGUCCUAUUUGUAUUCAUUAGCUAUAUUCACACUGCACUUAGCCAAGGGGCAAAUUUGUACCCAGUGGAUGCAGUAUGAAAAGGUGUAUUUUUUUGCUAUAGCUAAUUAAAGCCUUGUUGUCCCUCCCAGCGUAUGGCUUUGCAGAACUAAUUGACAAUGCACUGUCAGUGACAUCACACAGCACAGGAGUGAGGACAAUAGACAUCCGAUUGCUGUUCAACGAGUCCUUGGGGAAACCGGCAGUGGUUGCCAUGGACAACGGCUGUGGAAUAACCUCCAAGGAGCUCAAUAACUGGGCUGUGUACAGGCUCUCCAAAUUCAACAGGAAAAACAACAUGUUUUCAAGUGAUACAUCAUAUUUUGGUGUAGGAGGGAAACAAGCAGUGUUCUACAUUGGACAGUCAACCCGGAUUAUCACCAAACCAGCGAGCUCCCCAGAUGUCCAUGAAUUCGUCAUUUCAGAAGAAGAGUUUGAGAGGAAGGAGCGGAACAAUGAGAAUAUUUACAGUGGUUUCAUCAGAAACAGGAAGGGAUUACCAACAGAUCACCGAAAAUGUUGACUAUGUAAUCAACAAAACUAAAGUUAUCUGAAUCCAUCCAUACUUUGAAAUAUAAAUCUGUCUGUGUUAGGUCCAACUGCUGUACUACUAUCCUUCCCACAGCGACCAUCUUCUAUGUAAUGACAUCCAUGUUAACUCUUCCCCCAUGCAGAUGGGUGACUCGUCCCACGUGCAAGAUGACAAGGAGUGCUUUCUCCACGGGCUGAUUGCCGAGGAGGUGGGAAAGGAGAGCUUCACAGCCGUGGUGGUGACAGGGGUCCAGCCUGAACACAUCACCUUCCUCAGGCAGGACUUCCACCUGUGGACCAGAGAACUGGCAUCUCUACUGGAGAAGUUCCCCCAGAUCCCUCGCAUGGUGAGCAUCUGAGAGAUCGACAACGACAUGCAGACGCUCUACAUCAACGCAUCAGCUGACACAUUUGAGUUCAAAGUCUACGCAGAUGCUGAUGGAACAGUGGAGGGGGCCCUGAGGUACCACCCCUCCCUCUGUGACAGGGAA